rnacentral:rRNA from 1 species
AGAGUUUGAUCCUGGCUCAGAUUGAACGCUGGCGGCAUGCCUUACACAUGCAAGUCGAACGGCAGCACGGGAGCAAUCCUGGUGGCGAGUGGCGAACGGGUGAGUAAUGUAUCGGAACGUACCUUUCAGUGGGGGAUAACGUAGCGAAAGUUACGCUAAUACCGCAUAUUCUGUGCGCAGGAAAGCAGGGGAUCGCAAGACCUUGCGCUGAUUGAGCGGCCGAUAUCAGAUUAGCUAGUUGGUGAGGUAAAGGCUCACCAAGGCGACGAUCUGUAGCGGGUCUGAGAGGAUGAUCCGCCACACUGGAACUGAGACACGGUCCAGACUCCUACGGGAGGCAGCAGUGGGGAAUUUUGGACAAUGGGGGCAACCCUGAUCCAGCCAUGCCGCGUGAGUGAAGAAGGCCUUCGGGUUGUAAAGCUCUUUCGGCCGGGAAGAAAUCGCAUGGGUUAAUACCCUGUGCGGAUGACGGUACCGGCAUAAGAAGCACCGGCUAACUACGUGCCAGCAGCCGCGGUAAUACGUAGGGUGCGAGCGUUAAUCGGAAUUACUGGGCGUAAAGCGUGCGCAGGCGGUUUUGUAAGACAGGCGUGAAAUCCCCGGGCUCAACCUGGGAACUGCGCUUGUGACUGCAAGGCUAGAGUAUGGCAGAGGGGGGUGGAAUUCCACGUGUAGCAGUGAAAUGCGUAGAGAUGUGGAGGAACACCAAUGGCGAAGGCAGCCCCCUGGGCCCAAUACUGACGCUCAUGCACGAAAGCGUGGGUAGCAAACAGGAUUAGAUACCCUGGUAGUCCACGCCC